GGCCGCCUAGCUCAGUUGGUUAGAGCGUCGUGCUAAUAACGCGAAGGUCUUGGGUUCGACCCCCACGGUGGCCA